rnacentral:lncRNA from 1 species
UUUGAUGCAGUUUGUGAGGAAGAAGGAACUUCCUCCGGAAAGGAUGGGGUGGGGGAGCAGUGGGAGGCCAAAACAUGAUAACCACUCCAUGUUAUGUUUAUAUUUUGUUCCUGGCGUGUAGGUUUCCAUGGCUUGAAGAAGGGGAAAUCUAAAAGUUGGGACACAAAAAGUUGGGAGGUCAUGAUUCAUCAUCAAAAAAUACAUCUAAUCUAAUGUCCAUAGCGUGCCACUCAGACAACAGAGGAACCGAGAAAAUAUUGCGCGAAUCCUGCGCUUGGAGGGAAGGAAAAAGAAAGAAGGAAAGAGUAAAUAU